rnacentral:rRNA from 1 species
UACGUAGGGUGCGAGCGUUAAUCGGAAUUACUGGGCGUAAAGCGUGCGCAGGCGGUUUUGUAAGACAGGCGUGAAAUCCCCGGGCUUAACCUGGGAACUGCGUUUGUGACUGCAAGGCUAGAGUACGGCAGAGGGGGGUGGAAUUCCACGUGUAGCAGUGAAAUGCGUAGAGAUGUGGAGGAACACCAAUGGCGAAGGCAGCCCCCUGGGUCGAUACUGACGCUGAGGUGCGAAAGCGUGGGGAGCGAACAGG